UACGGGGGGUGCGAGCGUUGUCCGGAAUCACUGGGCGUAAAGGGCGCGUAGGUGGUUUGAUAAGGGUGUGGUGAAAGCCCGGGGCUCAACCCCGGGUCUGCCGUGCCGACUGUUAAACUCGAGGGCUGUAGAGGCAGACGGAAUUCCGGGUGUAGCGGUGGAAUGCGUAGAGAUCCGGAGGAACACCAGUGGCGAAGGCGGCCUUCUGGGUCGACCCUGACGCUGAGAGGCGAAAGCGUGGGGAGCGAACAGG
rnacentral:rRNA from 1 species